rnacentral:rRNA from 1 species
AAUCAACGCUGGCGGCGUGCCUAACACAUGCAAGUCGAACGCGAAAGUCCCGCAAGGGAUCAGUAGAGUGGCAAACGGGUGAGUAACGCGUGGGUGACCUGCCUUCGAGCGGGGGAUAACGUUCCGAAAGGGACGCUAAUACCGCAUAACAUCCUGUCUUUUAAGAGGUGGAGAUCAAAGCCUGGGACCGCAAGGCCAGGCACUCGAAGAGGGGCCCGCGUCCGAUUAGCUAGUUGGUGGGGUAAUGGCUCACCAAGGCUCCGAUCGGUA